ACGCCUCUUCUCGGCAGUGGUGGCGUCAGCGUUGCCAGAUUGGGCCAUAUUUUCCGCCCAAUCUGGCAACAGUUGGUGGCGGCAGGCAGCGGCAGUACUGUAGUAGUAAUCUGCCAUGCAUUGAGCCUGCAUUCUGUUUCACAGCGCGUCCACGACCAUUGGGCGCAAGGGAAUACCAGUCGCAUUUAUUUUGCCCGAGCAAGUGACAACCGCCGCGGGCAAUGCCAUUGACUCACUGAAGGAGGAAUAAAAUAUACAUAUACAACGCAAAUAUGACGGUGGACUUUGAAGAAUGUAUAAAGGACUCCCCUCGAUUCAGGGCUGGCAUCGACGAGGUGGAGACGGAUGUAGUUGAGAUCGAGGCGAAGCUCGACAAGCUGGUGAAGCUAUGCAGUGGGAUGAUCGAGGCGGGCCGGGCCUACGUCAGCGCCAACAAGCUGUUCGUCAACGGGAUCAAGGACCUGUCGCUGCAGUGCAAGAAGGAGGAGAUGAUCUCGGAAUGCCUCGAGAAGUGUGGGGAAAGCUUGCAAGAGAUCGUCAACUACCAUACGAUUUUGUUCGACCAGGCUCAGAGGUCUAUCAAGCAGCAGCUUCACAGCUUCGUUAAGGAGGAUGUGCGCCGGUUCAAGGAGACCAAGAAGCAGUUUGACCGUGUGCGUGAGGACAUGGAGCUGGCCCAGGUGAAGAACGCCCAGGCCCCGAGGAACAAGGUGCACGAGGCGGAGGAGGCCACGCAGUCCCUCGUUCUGAGCCGCAAGGCCUUCCGCCACCUGGCGCUGGACUACGUGCUGCAGAUCAACGUGCUUCAGGCCAAGAAGAAGUUUGAGAUCCUGGAUGCGAUGCUGUCCUUCAUGCACGCCCAGUACACCUUGUUCCAGCAGGGGUACAACGUUCUGGAUGAGAUUGACCCCUACAUGAAAAAACUGGCUGUGCAACUGGACCAAUUGGUGAUCGACUCGGCGAUGGAGAAGAGAGAUCUGGAACACAAACACGCACUUAUCCAGCAGAGGACGUUAAUGCAGGACUUCUCCUAUGAUGACACUAAGGUGGAGUUCAACGUUGACGCUCCUAAUGGCGUGGUCAUGGAAGGAUACCUGUUCAAGAGGGCCAGCAAUGCCUUCAAGACCUGGAACAGGCGAUGGUUUUCCAUUCAAAACAGCCAACUGGUUUACCAAAAGAAACUCAAGGACUCUCUGACCGUUGUGGUGGAGGACCUGAGGUUAUGUUCUGUCAAGCCAAGCGAGGACAACGAGCGGAGGUUCUGCUUCGAGGUGGUCUCACCUACAAAGAGCUGUAUGCUGCAGGCCGAGUCUGAGAAGCUGCGUCAGGCAUGGAUUCAGGCGGUGCAGGCUAGCAUAGCCUCUGCAUACAGAGAGAUCACCGACAACUACUACAUAGAGCGCCUGGACCGCACCGCCUCGCCCUCCACCAGCAGCAUCGACUCGGCCAGCGAGCCCCGGGAGGGCCGGGGGGGGGAGCGGGCGGGGGACAGGGGGGUGCGGGGGGGAGGGGAGAGCCUCCUCCAGAGGGUGCAGAGCCUGCCCGGCAACGACCUGUGCUCGGACUGCAGCCAGACGGCCCCCUGCUGGGCCUCCAUCAACCUGGGGGUGCUGCUGUGCAUCGAGUGCUCCGGGAUCCACCGGAGCCUGGGCGUCCACUGCUCCAAGGUGCGCUCCCUCACGCUGGACUCCUGGGAGCCAGAGCUACUCAAGUUGAUGUGUGAGCUGGGCAACACUGUGAUCAACCACAUCUACGAGGGCACCUGCGAGGCUCUGGGCGCCAGGAAGCCAGGACCCACCAGUUCAAGGCAGGAGAAGGAGGCCUGGAUCAAGGCCAAGUACGUGGAGCGGCGCUACCUGAAGAAGAUGAGCGGCAGCGAGGCAUUGGUGGAGGGGGAGAGGAAGUCCCGCCCCUGGACGGUGAAGAAGUGCCCGCAGCACCGCAGCUCCCUGCGGGCGCCCCACAAGGCCCGCAGGAAGUACCACCGCUACGACCCCAGCGGCCCGGCCCCCGCCAACCUCUCUGCAGCAGCAGCGGCGGCCGCGGCGGCCAAGUUCCGUCGGGACUCUCUGUUCUGUCCCGAUGAGCUGGACUCCCUGUUCUCCUACUUCGACACCGGCUCCGGGCCUCGCAGCCCGGCAGGCCUGAGCAGCGACAGCGGCCUGGGAGGAAGCACUGACGGCAGCACUGACAUCGUCUUCGGCGCCGUGGUGGACAGCGUCACGGAGGAGGAGGAGGAGUCGGAGGAGUCGUCCAGCGGGGACGUGGAGAUCGAGCAGGAGGUGGCCUCCGACCCAGAGGACCCCCGGGAGCUGCACCCCGGGGCCCUGCUCCACCGAGCCUCCCGCCUCCACAACCUGCCGCUCAUGGCCGAGGCGCUGGCGCACGGCGCUGACCUGCACGCCCCCGGCGAGCAGGAGCACGGCAGGACGCCGCUCAUCGAGGCCGUGGUGGGGGGCUCUUUGAUAGCGUGUGAGUUCCUGCUCCAGAACGGGGCUGACGUGAACCAGAGGGACAUGCGGGGGCGGGGCCCGCUACACCACGCCACCAACCUGGGCCACACCGGGCAGGUGUGCUUGUUCCUGAAGAGAGGGGCAUCGCAGUCAGAGGUGGACGAGCAAGGUCACGACCCUUUGAAUAUCGCUGUCCAGGCUGCCAACGCAGAUAUCGUCACCUUGUUGCGUCUGGCGCGGAUGAACGAGGAGAUGCGCGAGGCCGAGCCGCCGCUGGGCCAGCCAGGUCAAUACCCCGGCGGCAGCCCCACUGAGCAGCAGUAUAGGAAGUGCAUUCAGGAGUUCAUCUGCCUCACCAUAGAGGAGAGCUAGGGGGCGCCGUGAGCAUCCCAGGGAGUAGCUUCCCCAUCCCUCCCUUGUAUUUAUUCCCAGACACGCCAUGGUGUAAAGCAGUGUAGAUGAAGUUGCCUCUCAGCAUGGGUACACAGUCUCGUUCCUCCUCAUCUGCAAAGUCAGUGGAGAGGUACUGGUUCAAGUUCUGGAUCUGUGGCUCAAAGGCAACUUUGUGAAGAACUUGAAGGGUUUUAUUGUGAAAAACCUCUAACUCCCAUGUGGGAUGAUCUUCCUUCCUGGCAUUAACUGUUUCUGUUUCUGGUCACCACCUGCUUUUUUCCCCCCCCUCUUAACACCACUUGCUUUUCUGCUUCGCUAUUACCAACUCUGUGUUGCUAACUACUGCGCUAGACAUGCACAGAACAGUUCAAUGAGGGCUGCUCUGGGGUUAAGACCUCUUCUCUGCAUGCUGGCGUUGUGCUAAACCUGCAUUGCCUUCUAACCUGUUGUUUCUAACUGAGGUCUAACCCCUUCCGGGACACUAGCUUCCUCCCAUUGCACUAAACAUCAGCGUCAUUCAGGAGAAGCUCAGUUACUCACAGUAAGUAUAGAUCCCACUCUGGCAGGUAGGCUGGCGCCAGAAGAGAUGCAAACCCAGGAGCCUUUGGGCUGGAAGGGAAUCAGCCUAGACACCCUAGGCUCCUACUUUUGGUUCACCAAGAAUUACAAUGGUCAUCUCUGAAUAAUUGUAUGUUCUACUCUGUGUGUUGAUAUAUAUAUAAUUAUAUAUACACAUCCAUAAAACACAAGCGAUCGGAGGGGUUUCUUAUAUAUAGAUAGAUUUAGGACUUCUAAGGUCAGUCUUGAAACUGUACUGUGGCAUGAGGUGACGCUGAGGCGUUUCAUAGAGAAAGAAGCGAGAAUGGAGUGGUGCAGGUGGUUUAGGGCUGGUGUUUACUGUGUGUACUGAGCGGAGAUCCAGUGGUGAUCUAGUGUUACAAACUGUGAAGCUGAGGAUGAAAAUGGAUUGUCAUGGGUGAGGGGGGACACAUGGCUGCUUUACCAUACACCGACCAUGUGAUGGAUUUGAGCGAGAGAGAAAGAGUGAGAAUGAGAGAGAGAGUUAAUGAGUGCAUGUGUCUAAGAAUACUGAGAGACAGAGUUAAACGCUAUGAUGUUGUCAUGUAUACCUUUAUGUACGAAACAAAUGUGCACUUUUCUAUCUAACGGCAGUAUUAUAAUUUUUGUUUUUGUUUGUUUGUGCUUGUUUCGUUUUCUGUCAGUUCUGUUCAGCGGAAACCAUCGUCACUCUUGUCUGAUUUUCUAUUUAUGUUGUUGGUCUGUCCGGAGGACGUGCAAUGCAGUAAAUAAGUUCUUAUUUUUUUAUAUUUUGCAGUACUUUAAAAAAGGACACCAUGUUGAUAAGCUGUAUAAAAUGCCACUCACCGUCUUUAUAUCCUUUAGUACAUACACAGAAAAGUUUAGUUAUUCCAUUUUUAGGGACAAUCAGUGAACAAACAUGUGUUUGUUUCCUGACUAUUCCAAAGUUAAUUAUCACUCAACGUCAGUAAUGAAUCAGUAAUACUAUUUUUUACUGAUGGUCGCAAACAUAACUUACAAUAGGAAUCCGUACAGCAGCAGUCCUUGAGACAGUAUUAACCAUACAUGUUCUGAUGUGUUUAUGCUGCCAUCAGUGUCUGGUCUUACUCAACGCCUGUAUUGUAGAAUUUUCUCAGCCAUAGAUAAUGGUAUCAUUGGUUCAUGUCAUUGAUUCCACAACUCCUUUGUUUGCAACAGAAACCACCUGGGGCCGUGCUUGGGUAAUACACAGAGUGAACAACAAGCACCAACCCUUAUCUUAAGGUCUAAGAGCACAGCCCUACUGUAUGUGCUCAAUGUGACUGCCAGACUUCCCCCAGAGUCAUAUGUGGACCAGACUGCCCUCAUGGCACUCAUGUAACCAACUAGGACCAACUAGGGACCCUACAUUCUCUUGAAUUUACAGUGUACUUUACUCAUCGGUAACAUACAUUUUCUGAGGUUGGCUCACUGAGGUUGACCAAAAUACGCAUGCUUUAUCAAAGUUAUCUUUGUGAAUGCCAACAUAAUCUGCGUUCCAAGCAUGAUGAAGUGCUGUUUUUCUUAUGGUUUGCUAAGUGAUGCUGUUCAUUAGAACAUGAACCACACUGGUUCUGAUGAUGUCUUUAUUCCACUAUUAUGGGACUCUCCAUGUGAGCCAAGAUCUUAUCUUUGAUAUGCUCACACCAGAUCUUCUGUUUCUUACUACCGAUGUCAGCCAGUUGUGUUGGCAUUGAUUUUUCUCUAUUUGAGUUUCCUCCUGCCAAAGACUCUAAAGGGAACGCGUCCAUCUUAGAUGUUACAUGUCACCUUUUUUUAUAUACAAAGAAAUGUCUGAGUAAAUACAAUGUUUUACCAUGCUUUGUGAUGUGAAAAGAGAGGUAAUAAUGCACUCUGGAUGUACUCAUCAUAUGAAAAAAAAAUAAUAAUAAUAAUAAAGUUAGAAGAAAUAGAGUUAUGGUACAGGCUCAUAACAUGUUGGAUAUAUCAGCAGGUAAUAUGCCAAUGCUCAGUGUACUGCGAGUAGAUUCAAUCUUAAGAGUGUGAUGAGAUGUUACCAAACUGUUCAGGGCACUCGCCCUUAACUCAAUGUUGGAUGUUGUUUCUCAUGGUGUGUGUUUUAACAUAGGAAUAGUAAAUGGUGCUUGAAAAUAACAAAAAAACUAACGCUGUACAUAGCAAUGCUUCUGGGUGUUUGACCUCAAAUGUAGCUCCCUGCCUCUCAGCAUUCAACUGUUUAUUCUGACUGAUCUGUUUUAAAUAGGUCUAUAUAUUUCCUUCCAAAGUAACAACAUGUCACACUACUGGAAUGUCGUGUAGCGCUCUGCAAGUUGGAGUUUAUUUCUGUAUACUUUUGUUCCUUGUCAAUAGAAAACGCUCAAAAGGGGGAAAUCUUAAAAGCAGAAAAUAAAAGGAAAAGAAACUCUUGCAAACUAACCCAGCUUCCGGAUUGUGCUGUCAUUUCUGCUUCUUACUCAUCUCUGUUUAUGUAACCUUCCCAACUUCACCCAAAGUUUUUUUUUGUAACUGUCAAAUACCUAGUCACAGAGAUGUUGUCUCUGGAAACAAGCCAGAGUCUGAGAAUGAGAACGUCAUCUUGUUGAAACACGCAGAACAUAUGAGUAUCACUCCAAAGACGUAAUUUGUGGUGGUUAAUAUCAGCAGCUUUGUCCAGCCGCAGGCCCAAAAAAAUGGCAUCCCCUCGAAACAGUACUAACAUGUAAUGAAUCAUUGAGGCUUAACUUAAAUCUGUAGAACACAUUUGCUCCUGCAAGCCAGGCCAUACCACUGAGUUACUGUACACAUGCUCUUUCUCACACACUGUUAUUGAUCCAAACCUUUCUCCAUCUAUUCUGAGAGGACAAGGGUGACUGACCAAUCAUUGCUUGUCUCGCCACAGGGGAAGCAGCGAGCAGCAGGAGGGUUAAACACAAGGAGGGACGGGAGAGAGUUACAUCACCCGUGUUGACGUCUUUCGCCAGUUUUCUCUCCUCGCGUC